rnacentral:rRNA from 1 species
UACAGAGGGGGCAAGCGUUGUUCGGAAUUACUGGGCGUAAAGGGCGCGUAGGUGGCCUUCUAAGUUGAACGUGAAAUCCCUGGGCUCAACCCAGGAACUGCGUCCAAGACUGGGAGGCUUGAAUCCGGGAGAGGGAUGCGGAAUUCCAGGUGUAGCGGUGAAAUGCGUAGAUAUCUGGAGGAACACCGGUGGCGAAGGCGGCCUUCUGGACAGUGACUGACGCUGAGACGCGAAAGCGUGGGGAGCAAACAGG